GGCUGAAUGGUCUAGUGGUAUGAUUCCUGCUUUGGGUGCAGGAGGUCCCGUGUUCAAUCCACGGUUCAGCCC